rnacentral:lncRNA from 2 species
CUAGGCAUUGCACCCAUCUCAAAUUUCAUCCAUGCUACACUGCAUAUAAACUCGAAGUAUUUGAGGAUUGAGAACCCUGCAUUGUCAAAGACAAUCCUUUCUGCAGGCUUUAGGUUUCCAAGCUGCCCAAUCCAAUUUGGGAGAAGGGCUGGUGGAGAGGACACACUGCUCCAGCCAUCAACAUUGAUCCUCGUCUUUGUAUCCCUGUCAAUAUGUAGAGUAUCUGGACAGGAAGAGCCAGGAGGCGAUAAAGUUAUAGAUGUGAGAUUACGGAGUUUCCCCAGAAUGGAUCCAAGAUAUUUCAUAUUAUCCUUCAGAUUAAUAGGUGAGCUGCAAAUCCCGGAGAUUGCUCAGCUCACCAAGGCUCCAUAG